rnacentral:tRNA from 1 species
GCCUGGGUGGCUCAGUCGGUUGAGCAUCCGACUUCGGCUCAGGUCAUGAUCUCACGGUUCGUGGGUUCGAGCCCCGCGUCCGGCU